CCUUGUACACACCGCCCGUCACACCAUUGGGGAGUUGACUGUGCCCAAAGCCGUGUCCCUAACCGCAAGGAGGGGAGCGUCUACCGGCAAGGUCGGCGACUGGGGUG
rnacentral:rRNA from 1 species